GGUCCUGUGGCCCAAUGGAUAAGGCGCCUGACUACGAAUCAGGAGAUUCCAGGUUCGAUUCCUGGCAGCAUCG
rnacentral:tRNA from 1 species